UACGUAGGGGGCAAGCGUUGUCCGGAAUCAUUGGGCGUAAAGAGCGUGUAGGCGGUCCGGUAAGUCGGCUGUGAAAGUCCAGGGCUCAACCCUGGGAUGCCGGUCGAUACUGCCGGACUAGAGUUCGGAAGAGGCGAGUGGAAUUCCCGGUGUAGCGGUGAAAUGCGCAGAUAUCGGGAGGAACACCAGUGGCGAAGGCGACUACCUGGCCUGUUCUUGACGCUGAGGCGCGAAAGCUAGGGGAGCAAACGGG
rnacentral:rRNA from 1 species